GACGAACGCUGGCGGCGUGCUUAACACAUGCAAGUCGAACGAAGAGCGAUGGAAGCUUGCUUCUAUCAAUCUUAGUGGCGAACGGGUGAGUAACGCGUAAUCAACCUGCCCUUCAGAGGGGGACAACAGUUGGAAACGACUGCUAAUACCGCAUACGAUCUAAUCUCGGCAUCGAGGAUAGAUGAAAGGUGGCCUCUACAUGUAAGCUAUCACUGAAGGAGGGGAUUGCGUCUGAUUAGCUAGUUGGAGGGGUAACGGCCCACCAAGGCGAUGAUCAGUAGCCGGUCUGAGAGGAUGAACGGCCACAUUGGGACUGAGACACGGCCCAGACUCCUACGGGAGGCAGCAGUGGGGAAUCUUCCGCAAUGGACGAAAGUCUGACGGAGCAACGCCGCGUGAGUGAUGACGGCCUUCGGGUUGUAAAGCUCUGUUAAUCGGGACGAAAGGCCUUCUUGCGAAUAGUGAGAAGGAU
rnacentral:rRNA from 1 species